rnacentral:rRNA from 1 species
GUAGGUGGCAAGCGUUGUCCGGAAUUAUUGGGCGUAAAGCGCGCGCAGGCGGUUCUUUAAGUCUGAUGUGAAAGCCCACGGCUCAACCGUGGAGGGUCAUUGGAAACUGGAGAACUUGAGUACAGAAGAGGAAAGCGGAAUUCCACGUGUAGCGGUGAAAUGCGUAGAGAUGUGGAGGAACACCCGUGGCGAAGGCGGCUUUCUGGUCUGUAACUGACGCUGAGGCGCGAAAGCGUGGGGAGCAAACAGGGAUUAGAUACCCUGGUAGUCCACGCCGUAAACGAUGAGUGCUAAGUGUUAGGGGGUUUCCGCCCCCUUAGUGCUGCAGCUAACGCAUUAAGCACUCCGCCUGGGGAUACGGCCGCAAGGCUG